GCACGACAAGGUUAAUCCGAGUGGUUUCUGCUAAAGGAACCUUUUGUUAGUCAUAGAACCACUAAUGAAUAAGGGAUGGGCAAGUUCUGGUGUCAGCCGCCGCGGUAAAACCAGCACCUCAAGUGGUCAGGAUGAUUAUUGGGCCUAAAGCAUCCGUAGCCUGCUUUGUAAGUUUUCGGUUAAAUCCAUACGCUUAACGUAUGGGCUGCCGGGAAUACUGCACAGCUAGGGAGUGGGAGAGGUAGACGGUACUCGGUAGGAAGGGGUAAAAUCCUUUGAUCUAUCGAUGACCACCUGUGGCGAAGGCGGUCUACCAGAACACGUCCGACGGUGAGGGAUGAAAGCUGGGGGAGCAAACCGGAUUAGAUACCCGGGUAGUCCCAGCUGUAAACUAUGCAAACUCGGUGAUGCAUUGGCUUGAUGCCAAUGCAGUGCCGCAGGGAAGCCGUUAAGUUUGCCGCCUGGGAAGUACGUA
rnacentral:rRNA from 1 species